GACGAACGCUGGCGGCGUGCUUAACACAUGCAAGUCGAGCGGUAAGGCCCUUUCGGGGGGUACACGAGCGGCGAACGGGUGAGUAACACGUGGGUGACCUGCCCUCAGCUCUGGGAUAAGCCUGGGAAACCGGGUCUAAUACCGGAUAUGACUCCAUGACGCAUGUUGGUGGGGUGGAAAGCCUUGUGCGGCUGAGGAUGGGCCCGCGGCCUAUCAGCUUGUUGGUGGGGUGAUGGCCUACCAAGGCGACGACGGGUAGCCGGCCUGAGAGGGCGACCGGCCACACUGGGACUGAGACACGGCCCAGACUCCUACGGGAGGCAGCAGUGGGGAAUCUUGCGCAAUGGGCGAAAGCCUGACGCAGCGACGCCGCGUGAGGGAUGACGGCCU
rnacentral:rRNA from 1 species